rnacentral:lncRNA from 1 species
UUAACAAAAGAACAUAUGAUUUUGAAACGGAAAAUUCUCCACAGCUGUUUGAAUAUUGGGACUAAUACCCGGAAAUAAGCUGGGAGGCCUCCCCUCACGGAGAUACAAGAGAUGAAAGAUCAACUGAGGCUUGUUAGACAACCACCCAUCAAGAAACAUAAACACAUAAUUCCUCUCUAUAUGAUGCUAUACAAAAUUAAAUUAUUCAAGAAAAGCCCAAAUAUGGUAGGUGAUUAGGAGAUAAACACAACACUAAGACACUUCUCAACUCAUGAAAUUUAGCAAAUCCAAUUAUAUAACUCAAAAGUAAAUACAGAGAUCUGGUGUGUACCUAUUUGCAAGGAAAAUGAGCUAAACCAAACCAAUGAUAAGAAUGGACCUUGGGCCUAACUCAACCCUAAGGAGACCAAGGACCUCAAAUCCCUCCGAUGUGGGAUAAUCCCCUCACGCCCAAAUUUCUAGAGCGUGGACAACAUAAAUGGGGGCCCAACAUCGGUAACAAUAAUUGGGAUAGGCCUGGCUCUUAUACCAUGAUAAGAAUGGACCUUGGGCCUAACUAAACCCCAAAAGCUAGCUUAUGAGGUACGGAUUGCCCAAGCCAUAUAAGGAAGACCUCAAAUCCCUCCGAUGUGGGAUAAUCCUAUUUGAGGUCCUUCGUCUCCUUAUAUGGCUUGGGCAAUCCUCACCUCAUAAGAUCUGAAACUGGUUGAACAAGAAAACUUGAAUAGAACUGAUUAAAAAUCGAGACCAACUUGAAUGAAGCUCAGCCCAAAACUUCAGCAAACAACACCAGCAAGCAAACCUCACAACUUUGAAAUAAUCUUUAACGGCUCCAUCGAGCUUAAACCCUGCUUGAAACCACUCGAUUUCUCAACCAAGUUCGCCGGAGAAGGAGAUUAAAAGAGCAGCAGUCGGAGCGCGGCCUCAACUCGCCAAAGAAGACGACCGAAUCAAAGUUGGAGGCCUUUUCCAGUAAAUAGACAUAAACAAAUAAUGGGAAUUUUCGAAGGAAAAUGAAUUACUGCAUUGAUGAUUGUUUCGAAGUCUUUUUGACUGAUUUACGCUGAUUUUUCGAUCUGAUUUCAAGGUGAUUUGGGGAUUGGAGGAGAUAUUGGCUGGAAGAUGACUGGAGGAGCUAUUUUAAUUUGGUGGUGAAGAUGGUUACUCAGUCCACAAGAACAAGGCAAGCGCCGUUUUUUUGUUUUUUUUUUAAAAAAAAAUCAGAAUCUCAUCCUCCUCCCUUAGGUCUUUUUUUUUUUUUUAAAUGUGUUUUUACAUGUAGGGGUAGGGUAAAUGGUAAUGGAUAUUUGGGUAGAGGUAUUUAGCUUUUGGGUCUGGUUGGGC